GGCGGACGGGUGAGUAACGCGUGAGUAACCUGCCUUCAAGAGGGGGAUAACAUUCUGAAAAGAAUGCUAAUACCGCAUGAUAUAUCGGAACCACAUGGUUUUGAUAUCAAAGAUUUUAUCGCUUGAAGAUGGACUCGCGUCCGAUUAGUUAGUUGGUGAGGUAACGGCUCACCAAGACCGCGAUCGGUAGCCGGACUGAGAGGUUGAACGGCCACAUUGGGACUGAGACACGGCCCAGACUCCUACGGGAGGCAGCAGUGGGGGAUAUUGCGCAAUGGGGGCAACCCUGACGCAGCAACGCCGCGUGAAGGAUGAAGGUUUUCGGAUUGU
rnacentral:rRNA from 1 species